rnacentral:lncRNA from 9 species
GAGCAGGGCGCACACGCCCGAAAGGCUUGCUGCAGGGGGUGGGCAGGGCCUUAGGCGGAGAAGGGGGAGGAGAGGAUUUACCCAGAGGCCGAGGUCCUGCGGCUGAGCCACCUCGCGUCCCACCCAGGCACAGGAGCAGCGGGCCAGCAGCGCGAUGGGGAGGUCGGGUGGGCGCGCAGAGCUCCCGGGGCAACUCAGGUGGCAGCUUGGGAAACCUUUGGAAGUGAUCAGGGUGGCAGAACCCCGGGACAUAGAAGUAGGAGGGACUCAGACUCUGAGGAUACAGCCUGAAGGACAAAGCUGUUGAGUUCUAGAAAGAGAUAACUCAAAUCACUGAAGGAAGAAAAAUGUGAUUCAAGGCUUAUGGAUCAUUAUAAUAUUGGAAGUACUUUGCUGUUCCUGUAAGUAAAUUGAUGUGGGGCAAAGCACUGGGUCUGUCUGAAUCUUACUUUUCUCAUCU